rnacentral:rRNA from 1 species
CGGGGUGCACCAGGCGCGAAAACUUUACAAUGCUGGAAACAGCGAUAAGGGGACCUCGAGUGCCAGGUUACAAAUCUGGCUGUCGUGAUGCCUAAAGAGCAUUGCAUAGCAAGGGCCGGGCAAGACCGGUGCCAGCCGCCGCGGUAACACCGGCGGCUCGAGUGGUAACCGUUAUUAUUGGGUCUAAAGGGUCUGUAGCCGGCCGGAUAAGUCUCUUGGGAAAUCCAGCAGCUCAACUGUUGGGCUUUCAGGAGAUACUGUCUGGUUCGAGGCCGGGAGAGGUGAGAGGUACUUCAGGGGUAGGGGUGAAAUCUUGUAAUCCUUGAAGGACCACCAGUGGCGAAGGCGUCUCACCAGAACGGACCUGACGGCAAGGGACGAAAGCUAGGGGCACGAACCGGAUUAGAUACCCGGGUAGUCCUAGCCGUAAACGAUACUCGCUAGGUGUCGGCCACGGUGCGACCGUUGUCGGUGCCGUAGGGAAGCCGUGAAGCGAGCCACCUGGGAAGUACGGCCGCAAGGCUGAAACUUAAAGGAAUUGGCGGGGGAGCAC